ACCCACUUGCGAGGCCCAUUUGCCGGGCCGCACCAGGUCCAGCUUCAGUGAGAGGACCAAGACUUCAGGCUGAGAGGCCGGGGAGGUCCAAACGAGCCUGUGACUCGGCCCUGGUCUGCGGCUCCGUGACCUCUGUUCUGGGAGCACGUGACCAUGAAAGUGUGGGAGCGAAUGAAGAAUGGAUCAAAGCCAACUCAUUCAUCAUCAUAACAAACAGGGCAAAAAUGAUCACGACGUUCGUCCUCUUGUGGAAUGUCACAGAGAAGAAACGACGGACCUAAACGGAUCGAACCACGUGCGUUAUAUUGGCGGGUGGUGGGCCGCCCUCGGCGCGCGCGAGCCCGUCCAGGACAAGAAUGAGGAGGCUGUGGGCCUGUCUCCACUGGGAGAGACGGUGGGAGCCCCGGGACGAAGGCAGCCAAGUCACCUGGACAUCAGUGUCGGAGCACCCUUUAUCUGAAUGGGCCUCAGAGUGCGCUGCUCUACCUGAGGGAGCCGGAGACAGGAUGAGGAGGGAGACGUGAGCGGGACGCGGCAGAAGGUCGGGCCACGUCAGGCGGGAAACAACGUGGCCAUGCUCCAUGUUGAGGAGACGUGUUCCAUGGAUCCAGCCUGCUCAGAAGGGUCCCGUGAAGUCCAAGUCCCUUGGAUCAUGACGGCAGUCUGGUUGAGUGCGUGACGACCCAGACGGCAGACGACUUCUGCUUCCUGAAGUGAGAGUCCGAUCUUGUUUUGGUUGGCAGGAGCUGCCAGCGACCUUCUCAAGCGCUUCAGUGGAACAUGGAACAUGUCACGUCCAGACGCAGAAACACCUGAAAUGUCCACAGGUGGAUCAGAUGAAGUGGUUCGGUGGUUCGGAUUCCGGUCUUUGACACCUCAGGUCUUCUCUGAGACCUCUCCCUCUGUGGCAUGAAGACGCCUCCGUGCCCAGGCCAAAAUCCUCAUCGCGUUGGGUGAAAGUCAAAAAUGGAGUGACUUUGAUGAGGGGAAAUAAAAAUAUACGGCGCAUGAAAAAACAACAUGACGUCAAAAGCUCAAGUAAAGUUGGGGAAAUAAAGACGGCGCGAGGGCGACUGGAGGUGAGAGGACCUGGAGAUGGAAGGAGCGAGCUUGAGCAGAAGGAGGGGGAGACGCUCUUCAUUUAUUGCUCCAGUGAAGAAGAACGUGGACGGACGGUUCUGAUGGUUCUGAUGCUGGAAACAAUAUGAAGGCAGAGAACAGGAAGGUGAGGACACGCGCACACACACACACACGCCACUGCUGGUGGCGCUGUGUGUCCUUGCUCUCUGCUUUGUUAGUCAGGGCAGCGGCUCAACCUGAUGUGUCAGCACUUUCUAUUGCUGGUGAUUAAUUUCGGGAGAUGGACGGAUCCUCACUGACAACGAUCCUCAGUGGACACACAGCAGGAGGGCGGUGGGAGGGGCCUGGCGUUUGCGUGAGGACUGAGAACUUCCUGUGAGAUUUCCAGGACAAAGCCCGGCUCCAGAGUGGGAGCUCUUGCGGAGCGAGGGCGUGUGGGCCCUGCACACGGAGCAGCGGCUCGCCCCAGCUCUGCUGGAGACGGAGCUGACGCAGGGAUGUUCCGCUCACGUGUGCGCACCAGACAAGUUGGUCCGUUCCAGGACGAGCUGUCUUGCACUCACCUGAGGCUCACCUUCCUGGUUCUACACCACUUCACUGCAGCUGAGCUUUGUACACUUGUGUGACUCACACAGUGCUGUCAUGCCUGUUUCAGGUUGAAAACGUGUCUCCAGUGAGACGUGUCGCCUCUGGAUUGAAACAUUCUGGGGGAAAAAUGAGUUGAAGCAAGUGAAAAGUGUUGCCGUCCCAGCAUGCGCUGAGCUUCCUCCUGGGCAAAUGUGAGGGUGAAUCCUUCGUGUGCUCAUGCCUGCUGUCUUGUGCUGUCUGGACCAGUGAGGCCUGACGCGCUGCUCACAAGAGAAGAUACGGGUUCGUUUCAUCCAGCUCCUGCUGCAUCGGCGCUUUGGUCUGUGAUGAUGCAGGCAACAAUUUAGCCCCCAAAAUAUUACUGUCAGAACCUGUGCUGGCGCCUUGCUAGCGCACGUCCACUGCUGUGUUUAUUCAUGACUUCAUGAGUCUUCUUCUGUUCCAAAUGAAUGAGUGACAACCGCGAUAUGAAUGAAGCGGGCAGCGGCGCGCGGGGACGACGUGGUGGCGAUGGUCCUGCGGAUGGUCCGGCUCCUGGUGCGCCGCUGCCGUCUCCACGCCUGCUGUUGGUCGCUCCAGUGCGCGUGUCAGGUGGCGGCCCGCAGCGGAGGACACGCGGAGGCUUCCUGGAGGCGCGCGUGCGCCCGUGCACGUGCACGCUCCCACCUUCCAAUCCAUCACAGCCGCUCCGGAUCGGCCCGGUUCCGCCGAAUGGUUUAAUUGUUCAUGCUAAUUGCUAUUUAUUGGCUGCGAUGCAAACGAGGGGCCGGCCAAAGUGAAAUUUUACGAGGAGAGAACUCCCACUCUCACACAAAUUGAAAAAGUGAAACUGGAGGAAGAGAGGAAAUGAGGCGAGGAGAGAGGAGCUUAAUGGCGGCUCUUUAAUGGCAGAGAGCAAAAAUUAAGACUGAUUUAAGGCGCGCUGCUGCUAAAUCUGCCCCAAAUCCCCCAGAUCCCCCGGAGAGAGAGAGACGCCCACUUGGCACCAAAGGAGAAACCAGGAGAUCAUUUCGUGCUCAGGCUUGUUGUGGCGGCGGGCGAAAAACGACCCUGACUUUCUGCAGGACUUCUGCUCUCUUCUGAGGGGGAAAUGGACGCAGAGCAGAGGCCAGGUCAGGACCACGUCAGGGUGGAGCCGCCGCUGAGAAGAAGCUGAGGAGCUGCGCCUCCUCUCCUGGACCAGACCUGGGUGCCCGAGAGACGCCGGCGAGGCCCAGGUGGGACCACCUCCUCGCACCCCUGAGGCCCGGGAAUACACCUUGUCUUCAUGCAGUCUCCACCAAAGCUGUGUGUGUGUGUGUGUGUGAGAGAGUGUGUGUGAGUGUGUGUGAGUGUGUGAGUGUGAGUGAGUGAGUGUGUGUGAGUGUGUGUGUGAGUGUGUGUGUGUGUGAGUGUGUGUGAGUGUGUGUGAGUGUGUGUGUGUGAGUGUGUGUGUGUGUGUGAGUGUGUGUGUCUGUGUGAGUGUGAGUGUGUGUGUCUGUGUGAGUGGGUGUGUGUGAGUGUGUGUGUGUGUGUGAGUGUGAGUGAGUGUGUGUGUCUGUGUGAGUGUGUGUGUCUGUGUGAGUGGGUGUGUGUGAGUGUGUGUGUGUGUGUGAGUGUGAGUGAGUGUGUGUGUCUGUGUGAGUGUGUGUGUCUGUGUGAGUGUGAGUGUGUGUGUCUGUGUGAGUGUGUGUGUGUCUGUCUGUGUGUGUGUGAGAGAGUGUGUGAGUGUGUGUGAGUGUGUGUGAGUGUGUGUGUGAGUGAGUGUGUGUGAGUGUGUGUGAGUGUGUGAGUGUGAGUGAGUGAGUGUGUGUGAGUGUGUGUGUGAGUGUGUGUGUGUGUGGAGUGUGUGUGAGUGUGUGUGAGUGUGUGAGUGUGAGUGAGUGAGUGUGUGUGAGUGUGUGUGUGUGUGAGAGUGUGAGUGUGUGUGUCUGUGUGAGUGGGUGUGUGUGAGUGUGUGUGUGUGUGUGAGUGUGAGUGAGUGUGUGUGUCUGUGUGAGUGUGUGUGUCUGUGUGAGUGGGUGUGUGUGAGUGUGUGUGUGUGUGUGAGUGUGAGUGAGUGUGUGUGUCUGUGUGAGUGUGUGUGUGUGAGUGUGUGAGUGAGUGUGUGUGUGAGUGAGUGUGUGUGAGUGUGUGUGUGUGUGUGUGUGUGAGUGAGUGUGUGUGAGUGUGAGUGUGUGUGUCUGUGUGAGUGUGUGUGUGUCUGUCUGUGUGUGUGUGUGUGUGUGAGUGUGUGAGUGAGUGUGUGUGUGAGUGAGUGUGUGUGAGUGUGUGUGUGUGUGUGUGUGAGUGUGUGUGAGUGUGUGUGUGUGUGUACGCGUGUCCCACCGUGUCAUUUGUUUUGCAUCCGUCCAUCACUGGACUGGUCCUCCUCCAUCUCUCGCUUCACCACUCCCUGUGAUUGAAGCUUCCUCUCCCCACCUCUCAGGUGUGACCCCCCCCCACAGUGACGCCCUCCUCACCAUCCCCUGCCAGUUAAAGUCCGUCCUCCUGCCCGUGUGUGUUAGAGAGACGCGUGGGGGUUUAAUAUAGUUAGGCUGAUUUCACAGUCCAUUGACAAGUUUGUGCUGACCUCUGACCCCAUAUCCAGCGAUGCGGGUGCUGAUAUGGCUGCAGGCCGGUGAGUGAGGUUCCAGAGACGGAAGUGGUUGGAUGAGUGUUCCAUGUGGAAUGAGGCUGCACAGGAGAGGCUGAUGGAGCCUCAGCUCCUCCCCCCCGGACAACACGCGCCUCACGUAUGGAUGACAGGGCUCCCUAAAUUGUCCUUCACACGACUCUCCUGCAUAUCGACUGCGCGUCUCUCGUCUCAGGACGGAGUUAUUGUCAUAUUGUUUCUCAACGCAACACAAUUGAAACGGGGACAGUUGUUCAAUCGCUCCACUUGCGUCAUCGAUUCCCAAUAAGGCCUUUCUUCAUCUGGUGGCCGGAGGAGCAGACACCGUCCUGUCAUGCAGCGCGUGACUCACACACUCACACAGGUUUGGCUCUCCAUCCUAGUGGGGACCUCUCAUGGCCGACGCCCCUUCCUCAGACUACAGUUAUUUCACCCUCACAUUGAGGCUUAACCUUGUGGGGUCCUGACCAAAGGUCUCCACAGGGAGGUGGUGUCCCCCAAACUGGCGCUCACUGGGACAGACAUGCUGAAACACACACACACACACACACACACACACAGACGUUGCUCAGUGUGUGUGUGUGUGUGGAUCGAACACCAUGAGAGCGACGGCUGAUGACAAGUUCAUGACACGGUUCCAUCAAGUUGAGACGAACCUGAGACUUGAAACCAAGUGGGUCCAAGUCUGAUGUGCCAAGAUAAACUUUACUGUUCUGGACCCCAGAGAGAGAGGUAGAGAGAGGAGGGAGAGAA